rnacentral:misc_RNA from 1 species
ACACAUUCGUUUUUCAUUCACCGGACUGGAAUAAAUGUUUCAUCUCUGAAAACAUCGCUGGCCAGGAUAAAGACAUGAACUUGUUGUGGCCCGGAGUCUUAGCAUGAAAUAUAGACUUUGUCAAACGUUCUCUGUCCAAAACCAACCAAGCGUGAAGUUUACGGUGCAUUUAGAUAUAUCUGUAACAGGAAAAACGUGUAUUUGACGAAAAAGUUUGAUUAGUCAUUUUUGUAUAUUACGCAAAAUAAAUUGUCUAAUAGUUUUACACGUACAACAGACAUUACGUGGGAUUAG